rnacentral:rRNA from 1 species
CUCUCGGCAACGGAUAUCCCGGCUCUCGCAUCGAUGAAGAACGUAGCGAAAUGCGAUACUUGGUGUGAAUUGCAGAAUCCCGUGAACCAUCGAGUUUUUGAACGCAAGUUGCGCCCGAUGCCAUUAGGCUGAGGGCACGUCUGCCUGGGAGUCACGUAAAGCUU